UACAGAGGGGGCAAGCGUUGUUCGGAAUUACUGGGCGUAAAGGGCGCGUAGGCGGCCUGCUAAGUCGAACGUGAAAUCCCCGAGCUCAACUCGGGAACUGCGUCCGAUACUGGAUGGCUUGAAUUCGGGAGAGGGAUGCAGAAUUCCAGGUGUAGCGGUGAAAUGCGUAGAUAUCUGGAGGAAUACCGGUGGCGAAGGCGGCAUCCUGGACCGACAUUGACGCUGAUGAGCGAAAGCCAGGGGAGCAAACGGG
rnacentral:rRNA from 1 species